rnacentral:rRNA from 1 species
GAUGAACGCUGGCGGCGUGCCUAAUACAUGCAAGUCGAGCGAACGGACGAGAAGCUUGCUUCUCUGAUGUUAGCGGCGGACGGGUGAGUAACACGUGGAUAACCUACCUAUAAGACUGGGAUAACUUCGGGAAACCGGAGCUAAUACCGGAUGAUAUUUUGAACCGCAUGGUUCAAAAGUGAAAGACGGUCUUGCUGUCACUUAUAGAUGGAUCCGCGCUGCAUUAGCUAGUUGGUAAGGUAACGGCUUACCAAGGCAACGAUGCAUAGCCGACCUGAGAGGGUGAUCGGCCACACUGGAACUGAGACACGGUCCAGACUCCUACGGGAGGCAGCAGUAGGGAAUCUUCCGCAAUGGGCGAAAGCCUGACGGAUCAACGCCGCGUGAGUGAUGAAGGUCUUCGGAUCGUAAAACUCUGUUAUUAGGGAAGAACAUAUGUGUAGGUAACUGUGCACAUCUUGACGGUACCUAAUCAGAAAGCCACGGCUAACUACGUG